GAUGAACGCUGGCGGCGUGCUUAAUACAUGCAAGUCGAGCGAACAGAUCAGGAGCUUGCUCCUCGGACGUUAGGGGCAGACGGGUGAUUAACACGUGGAUAACCUACCUUUAAGACUGGGAUAACUUCGGGAAACCGGAGCAAAUCGCGGAGAAUCUAUUGAACCGCAUGGUUCAAUAGGGAAAGACGGUUUUGCUGUCACGUAUAGAUGGAUCCGCGCCGCAUUAGCUAGUUGGUAAGUUAACGGCUUAUCGAGGCGACGAUGCGUAGCCGAGCUGAGAGGGUGGUCGGCCACACUGGAACUGAGACGCGGUCCAGCCUACUACGGGAGGGAGCAGAAGGGUAUGGUGCGCAGCAGGCGGGAGCCUGGCGGAAUGACGCGGCGUGGGUGAUGAAAGUCUUCGGAUCGGGAAGCUCUGCUAUGAGGGAGGAACAGAUGUGUAAGUAACUGUGCAGGGCUUGACGGUACCUGGUCAGGAAGCCACGGCUAACUACGUG
rnacentral:rRNA from 1 species